rfam:Exidia glandulosa HHB12029 unplaced genomic scaffold EXIGLscaffold_18, whole genome shotgun sequence.
GUCUGGUUAGCGCAGUCGGUAGCGCGUAGGUCUCAUAGCAAUAUGACCGGCAAUUGCCGAGAAAUCCUAAGGUCGCGAGUUCAAGUCUCGCACUGGACA